rnacentral:rRNA from 1 species
AUACGGAGGAUCCGAGCGUUAUCCGGAUUUAUUGGGUUUAAAGGGUGCGCAGGCGGCCAUUUAAGUCAGCGGUUAAAUCGAGGGGCUCAACCCCAUUCUGCCGUUGAUACUGGGUGGCUUGAUUGCGGUCGAGGUUGGCGGAAUUCGUUGUGUAGCGGUGAAAUGCAUAGAUAUGACGAAGAACACCGAUUGCGUAGGCAGCUGACCAGACCGCAAAUGACGCUCAUGCACGAAAGUGCGGGGAUCGAACAGGAUUAGAUACCCUGGUAGUCCGCACAGUAAACGAUGAAUACUUGUUUUCGGCGAUAUAAUGUCGGAGGCAAAGCGAAAGCGAUAAGUAUUCCACCUGGGGAGUACGCCGGCAACGGUGAAACUCAAAGGAAUUGGCGGGG